GGCAUCUUUUCUUUAUAAAAGAGGAAGGGAGAAGUGGCUCACAGAUCAUUGCUUGGCUUAUAUAACUUUAGAUAUCUGAUUGCCUGCGAGCUAAGACCAAGGCAAUGAAGUUCUUGGUUCAAUGCCCAUGUUGCUCAUGCUUCUGCUUCAUGAAGACCAAGAAGAACAAGCCCAAGGGAAAGGAAGCCAAAGGUGAUUGAAAGCAUCAACAUAAUGCAUUCAUUUUUGCUUUGAUAACGCGACAAGCUUUCCUAGAUUAUUUGAAGUUUCCCUGGAUUGAAUGCUUCAAAUGUACUUCAUCAAGUGAAUGUAAAAUGAUCUGAGAUCUUCUCUCGGAUGUAAUGUAUGGCUUGUUAGUUAUUUGUUUCUUAGCCCCUUGAUAAAUUGUCCAUCUUCGCCUCUUAUUGUUUGAUCAAUAACCAGACUGAGCUGCAAAAGAAAAUUUCAGGAGGAAUUGAGGUCAAAAAUCUCAGAAGAGUGGUUUUUGAAGUGGAAGGAGAAGCUUUGGCAUUCUUUGUCUUUAGAGACACAGGGAAUGUCUCAUCCACCCACACCAGACAAUAAAAUGACAACUACCUUUCCUCCAGCAGAAAGCAAGAAGGAAGAUAGGGGACAGAGCAAAAGCAUGGCAGGCCUUAAAAUCAACAACUUCAGGGAUAAGGAAUAUAAGCACAAGCACCCUAUCCCACAUACUGUGAGUUGUGAACACUGAAAAAUAUUUAAAAGGAAAAUAAACAAGAAAUUAUCUAUGCAUGCGGAUGCGCAUGGAACCCCAAUUUUUCAUGGAUUAGCAUAUUUGGUCGCAUGUCACAGGACCACCUGCAAGUCAGAUUACUAAAAUUGUCUCCUAUAUGGAGUUUAUUUUUUUGCUGUAACUAGAGAAUCACAUGUAACUCCACCUUCAAAGAGUAAACUAGAUGCUGCAACCUAAGACUCGAGCCGAAAAGCUGGUGGUUGAGUUUCGCUUGGGGCAACCUGUAGCAUUCUUUAGAGAUUGCUUCAGGUAAAGUUCAAUGUAGUUCCAAUAUCCCAUUUGUCUCCAGUUACAAAGCAUCUUUAGUCACGACCGCCGAACAAGCCUGAAGAAGUACAGUUCAGAAAUAUAAGUUUCAUUUCAAUUGUCAGUUGUGUUCUCAUAUGAUAUGCUAAAACAUCUUCAAAGAUCUUCAUGAAGAAAGGAUUGUCUCGUUGAUAGUUUCCACAAGGGCCUCAAAUAUAAUUUCCUUAGUACAGACUAAUAAUCUAAAUCAGAAGGCAUUGCACUGAUCCAAAUAAGCAAGCAAAAUAAUUAGCUGAUGCCUAAAAAUGAUCCAAUAGGAGCAAUGGAAAGAAUAAUAUAUAAUUUUAUUAAGAAGCAAAAUUUUCUACCAUACUGUGAAUGGUAAAAAAGACGAUUCCAAGAACAAAGAGAAAAAGAAGCACGAUUGUCAAUAGCUCUAUUUCUGAAAUCCACAGUUACACCUACAAUAAGCUCCUGGCUUUGGGAAAGUUUUGAUUCAAAAUUCUUAACCAGCUUCAGAUACAAUGCAAAUCAAGAUUUUGUCAGAUACUUGAUGAAGUGUUCCCUGCUUCCAAAUUCGUGCUUCAUUUUUGAAACUCAUCUCUCCAUUCUGACAAUGAAACUCCAUUGUU